AUACGGAGGUUGCAAGCGUUAAUCGGAAUUACUGGGCGUAAAGCGUACGUAGGCGGUCCGUUAAGUUAGAUGUGAAAGCCCCGGGCUUAACCUGGGAACUGCAUUUAAAACUGGCGGACUAGAGUUGAGUAGAGGGGAGUGGAAUUUCAGGUGUAGCGGUGAAAUGCGUAGAGAUCUGAAGGAACACCAGUGGCGAAGGCGACUCCCUGGACUCGAACUGACGCUGAGGUACGAAAGCGUGGGUAGCAAACGGGAUUAGAAACCCCUGUAGUCC
rnacentral:rRNA from 1 species